CUAAUACCGCAUAAGCCCACGGCUCGGCAUCGAGCAGAGGGAAAAGGAGCAAUCCGCUUUGAGAUGGCCUCGCGUCCGAUUAGCUAGUUGGUGAGGUAAUGGCCCACCAAGGCAACGAUCGGUAGCCGGACUGAGAGGUUGAACGGCCACAUUGGGACUGAGACACGGCCCAGACUCCUACGGGAGGCAGCAGUGGGGAAUAUUGCACAAUGGGGGAAACCCUGAUGCAGCGACGCCGCGUGGAGGAAGAAGGUCUUCGGAUUGUAAACUCCUGUUGUUGAGGAAGAUAAUGACGGUACUCAACAAGGAAGUGACGGCUAACUACGUGCCAGCAGCCGCGGUAAAACGUAGGUCACAAGCGUUGUCCGGAAUUACUGGGUGUAAAGGGAGCGCAGGCGGGAAGACAAGUUGGAAGUGAAAUCUAUGGGCUCAACCCAUAAACUGCUUUCAAAACUGUUUUUCUUGAGUAGUGCAGAGGUAGGCGGAAUUCCCGGUGUAGCGGUGGAAUGCGUAGAUAUCGGGAGGAACACCAGUGGCGAAGGCGGCCUACUGGGCACCAACUGACGCUGAGGCUCGAAAGUGUGGGUAGCAAACAGGAUUAGAUACCCUGGUAGUCCACACCGUAAACGAUGAUUACGAGGUGUUGGAGGAUUGACCCCUUCAGUGCCGC
rnacentral:rRNA from 1 species